UACGGGGGGGGCAAGCGUUGUUCGGAAUUACUGGGCGUAAAGGGCUCGUAGGCGGCCAACUAAGUCGGAUGUGAAAUCCCCAGGCUCAACUUGGGAACUGCAUCCGAUACUGGAUGGCUUGAAUUCGGGAGAGGGAUGCAGAAUUCCAGGUGUAGCGGUGAAAUGCGCAGAUAUCGGGAAGAACACCCGUGGCGAAGGCGGCUCUCUGGGACGGUACUGACGCUGAGACGCGAAAGCGUGGGGAGCGAACAGG
rnacentral:rRNA from 1 species